rnacentral:rRNA from 1 species
UAGACACCAAAGCAGACCAUGUUAACCACCCCUAAACAAAGGACUAAACAAUAUUGAACCCUGCCCUAAUGUCUUCGGUUGGGGCGACCACGGAGAAAUAAAAAACCCCCGCGUGGAACAGGGAUACUAUCCCCACAAUCACGAGCUCCCGCUCUACCAAACAGAACCUCUGACCAACCAGAUCCGGCAACGCCGAUCAACGGACCAAGUUACCCUAGGGAUAACAGCGCAAUCCCCUUUUAGAGCCCAUAUCGACAAGGGGGUUUACGACCUCGAUGUUGGAUCAGGACAUCCUAAUGGUGCAGCCGCUAUUAAG